AGAAUCUGGCCAAAUAUUCCACUCGUCGAUCAGCAUACCCACCCCUAAUAUGUACUCAUGAGACUGAUGUCCAUACUGUAAAAGGACUACGGCCAACUCUGGAAACUACACUGUGUAUGCUUAGGAAGCUCACCAGUUUCAUUACAAGCGCCAUAAGGCUUAGAGACAGCUGUUUCUCUGUUCAUCAACCAUAGGCAGGCUUAUAUAGAGUUUCUAUUAAAAAUUAUGUAUAAAGAAAGAGAAAGAUGUUGAAGGCAAAAACAUUGUCCUUGGCCAAAUCAGCACAGACCUAAUCUUGCAGAAAAGAAGGAAAAAGCAAACCAAAUCUUGGUGUCAAGAGAAUGAUGAGAUACGAAACAUAUGGUGGAGACAUCGGCUCUCCACUCCCAGUGGCUCAGUGACCUGCACCUUUUCCCACCUGGAAGAACAGGAAGGGAGAGCAGCACUGUUUGUUGUUUGAGAGGGACGAAAAGCGAUGGGAGAAAUUAGAAUAAAAGAGAUCGAAC